AAAGCUUCACCUCGACUUGGCAGAAGACCACAAAUAGCUGAUGGAGUUGAGUGCAAAGGUGCCUUGAAACAGAUGAUGGAAAAUAUGGUUGUUAGCCUUCUCAUUCAAGCUGAUAUACUAGACAGCUGUGCAAGGAGGGUGGAUGGGUUUGGCAACAGGGGUAAGGGUGGAGUAUGCAAAACUGUUUGUACGAAGGAGUUUGUAAGACAAAACAACAUUAAUAAAUAGAGACAAUACGACAUGAAAUAUACUUCAGGUCAUUAUUGGCUUUGGUCAAAAGUUCAGGCAAGGGUUUGCCUUGAAGAUAUGGUGUUGAGUCAUCGGGAAACAGUAUGAUAUCAGAGUGAAGAAGAGAAUUUGGAAAGUCGUUAAUAAUGACUGAAAAACAUAAUGGAGCCAAAAUAGAACCCUGUACUGUGCCUACCGUCAAAUUACAGUAUGUGCUAGAUGCUGUAUCAAUAUAUAAAACUACUUGUUUUCUUCCUGAUAAGUAGCUUUUGAACCAAUUAUAGCUCUGACCUCUUACACCAAUAUGGUGCAAUUUGGAUAGUAAUAUGUCAUGGUUAAUAGUUAAUACUAUCAAAUGCCUUGGAAAGUUCCAAGAACAUAGUAAGAGUAUACUCAUUUUUAUCGAAACCUUCCAGGAUUUUACUGACAAGUAGAGUGAUUUUAGCAAAAACCAAAUUGCUGGAAAUAGGAGAAAUGUUUUUGACCUUGGAAAUUGUUGAGUCUUCUGUACAUGAUUUUUUCUAGUACUUUGAAGAAGUAAGCUGAUUGGUCGGUAGUUUUGUACAUUUUUUGAAUUUUUUUUUUUAAACAAUGGCAUAACUUUAGAUAAUUUGAACUAGUU